rnacentral:rRNA from 1 species
CCUACGGUGUGCUGCAGUGAGGAAUAUUGGUCAAUGGGCGGAAGCCUGAACCAGCCAAGUCGCGUGAGGGAUUAAGGCCCUGCGGGUCGUAAACCUCUUUUGCCGGGGAGCAGAGGUCCGGACGUGUCCGGGCCGGGAGAGUACCCGGAGAAAAAGCAUCGGCUAACUCCGUGCCAGCAGCCGCGGUAAUACGGAGGAUGCGAGCGUUAUCCGGAUUUAUUGGGUUUAAAGGGUGCGUAGGCGGGCAUUUAAGCCGGCGGUCAAAUGUCGGGGCUCAACCCCGGCCUGCCGUCGGAACUGGGUGCCUUGAGUGGGCGAGAAGUAUGCGGAAUGCGUGGUGGAGCGGUGAAAUGCAUAGAUAUCACGCAGAACCCCGAGUGCGAAGGCAGCAUACCGGCGCCCUACUGACGCUGAGGCACGAAAGUGCGGGUAUCGAACAGGAUUAGAGACCCCUGUAGUC